AUUGAACGCUGGCGGCAUGCCUUACACAUGCAAGUCGAACGGCAGCACGGGAGCAAUCCUGGUGGCGAGUGGCGAACGGGUGAGUAAUAUAUCGGAACGUGCCCAGUCGUGGGGGAUAACGCAGCGAAAGCUGUGCUAAUACCGCAUACGAUCUAUGGAUGAAAGCGGGGGAUCGCAAGACCUCGCGCGAUUGGAGCGGCCGAUAUCAGAUUAGCUAGUUGGUGGGGUAAAAGCCUACCAAGGCGACGAUCUGUAGCUGGUCUGAGAGGACGACCAGCCACACUGGAACUGAGGCACGGUCCAU
rnacentral:rRNA from 1 species